GAACGCUGGCGGCAGGCCUAACACAUGCAAGUCGAGCGGUAACAGGUGUAGCUUGCUANCCGCUGACGAGCGGCGGACGGGUGAGUAAUGCAUAGGAAUCUGCCCGGUAGUGGGGGAUAACCUGGGGAAACCCAGGCUAAUACCGCAUACGUCCUACGGGAGAAAGGGGGCUUCGGCUCCCGCUAUUGGAUGAGCCUAUGUCGGAUUAGCUGGUUGGUGAGGUAACGGCUCACCAAGGCGACGAUCCGUAGCUGGUCUGAGAGGAUGAUCAGCCACAUCGGGACUGAGACACGGCCCGAACUCCUACGGGAGGCAGCAGUGGGGAAUAUUGGACAAUGGGGGCAACCCUGAUCCAGCCAUGCCGCGUGUGUGAAGAAGGCCCUCGGGUUGUAAAGCACUUUCAGCGAGGAAGA
rnacentral:rRNA from 1 species